GAUGAAGAACGUAGCGAAAUGCGAUAAGUAGUGUGAAUUGCAGAAUUCAGUGAAUCAUCGAAUCUUUGAACGCACAUUGCGCCCCUUGGUAUCCCGAGGGGCAUGCCUGUUCGAGCGUCAUUUCACCACUCAAGCCUGGCUUGGUGUUGGGCGACGUCCCCUUUGGGGACGCGCCUCGAAACGCUCGGCGGCGUGGCACCGGCUUUAAGCGUAGCAGAAUCUUUCGCUUUGGAAGUCGGGGCCCCGUCUGCCGGAAGACCUACUCGCAAGGUUGACCUCGGAUCAGGCAGGGAUACCCGCUGAACUUAAUCAUAUCAAUAAGCGGAGGA
rnacentral:misc_RNA from 1 species